UGCAAGUUCAAGGAGGCCAGACACGCCAAGGCUCUCGUCCUCUUCUACCAUGAAGUGCUAGGGGCUACGUGAGGAUGGAAUAUGGAUGCUUACUGCUGGACGUCGUCAAGCUGCACGAUGAAAUGCACAACAGAGGGAACUGCAAGCCCACAAUGCAGGAGCACUUACUCUAUAUUUAGGCAUUAUAUGUUGAGAUCAGUUGCAUAGUCGGUUGUAUGGCUCUAUAAGAUAAUCCAACAUGCGAAGGCCUUUGCAUUACCCAUGGUUGCUUCUACUGAUAUGAAUCACAUAAACAAGUUACUGGAUGGUGUCAAUGAUUUGGAUGACAAUCUUGACCUCAAGAAUCUGCACAUUACCUUUGAGGAGUUCUAUUGGAACCAUUUGCAAUGGCUAUCUUUAGCUAUGGCAAAGUAAACAAUUUGUUGAUGGAAGGCUCUAAAA